rnacentral:rRNA from 1 species
AUACAUGCAAGUCGAACGCGUCUCCGUUGAUGAUUUUAGGUGCUUGCACUUGAAAGAUUUAACAUUGAGACGAGUGGCGAACUGGUGAGUAACACGUGGGUAACCUGCCCUUGAAGUAGGGGAUAACACUUGGAAACAGGUGCUAAUACCGUAUAACAACCAAAACCACCUGGUUUUGGUUUAAAAGACGGCUUCGGCUGUCACUUUAGGAUGGACCCGCGGCGUAUUAGCUUGUUGGUAAGGUAACGGCCUACCAAGGCGAUGAUACGUAGCCGACCUGAGAGGGUAAUCGGCCACAUUGGGACUGAGACACGGCCCAAACUCCUACGGGAGGCAGCAGUAGGGAAUCUUCCACAAUGGACGAAAGUCUGAUGGAGCAACGCCGCGUGAGUGAUGAAGGGUUUCGGCUCGUAAAACUCUGUUGUUGGAGAAGAACAGGUGUCAGAGUAACUGUUGACAUCUUGACGGUAUCCAACCAGAAAGCCACGGCUAACUACGUGCCAGCAGCCGCGGUAAUACGUAGGUGGCAAGCGUUGUCCGGAUUUAUUGGGCGUAAAGCGAGCGCAGGCGGUUUUUUAGGUCUGAUGUGAAAGCCUUCGGCUUAACCGGAGAAGUGCAUCGGAAACCGGGAGACUUGAGUGCAGAAGAGGACAGUGGAACUCCAUGUGUAGCGGUGAAAUGCGUAGAUAUAUGGAAGAACACCAGUGGCGAAGGCGGCUGUCUGGUCUGUAACUGACGCUGAGGCUCGAAAGC